UGGAGCAAGAACAAGCAACAAUGGCGGUGGGAAUCUGAAGAACCACAAAGGCGUAGGCAUUUGAUCUUCAAGUAGGUUUUUCAACUCUAUGAAUUACUCAAGCCUGAGCAAGUAAAUAUUGGAAGGAAAAAUUAGGAUCGCUUUCACACUUUUCUGGGACUUCAUCAACAGAUACCAUUUUCUUUUGCAGCAAUUUAUAGGAAGAGUAGCUACCACUCAAAUCAUGCCUUGGGGCAGUAACAUGAAUCAAGCCUGUACAUUGAACAUGCAAAAUCCCAAAAGAGUAGCUGACAUGCAAAAUUUCACAAAAUCAGUAGCUGCUGGUCUAACGCUAGUGCCCUUCAGUGGCCUUCAUGAACAACAGUCAUAGAUUCGAGUCUGUGGCUACAGGGCCAGUUGCGCAAGGAGUUAUUUCAUCCGUGCCAGCUCAACCAAAGUCAUUUGAAUUAAGCAGGUAAGGGGCUAAUUAAAGCAAAAAGACAUGGUCAUCACUUAGUCUUAAAAUGAAAAAGAGAAGAAAGAAAAUGUGGUAGAUAAUUCCUAGUUGAUAAAUGGCCUGAAAACAUUAAAAGCGAUAUCUUCUGCAAUAUGUUCCACAUCUAUUAGACAUGUAUGAUCUCUAAAUAGUUUUAUUAAAUUAUUAAAUUAAUACAAACAUGAAUUUAGUCAAGUUGGCUAGAACAAUAUAUGUUGCACCUGAAUUCGAAUCCAUCUCCUGUAAUUUAUUUAAGUUUA